AACGAACGCUGACGGUGUGCCUCAUACAUGCAAGUCGAGCGGGCUCAGCAAUGGGUCAGCGGCGGACGGGUGAGUAACACGUGAACAAUCUGCCCCCGAAUUUGGGAUAACGGUUCCAACGAGCCGCUAAUACCGGAUAGGUUUACUUGGUCUCCUGAUCGAGUUAAGAAAGUUGCAAUUGCAACGUUCGGGGAUGAGUUCGCGGCCCAUUAGCUAGUUGGCGGGGUAACGGCCCACCAAGGCGACGAUGGGUAGCCGGCCUGAGAGGGUGAUCGGCCACAUUGGGACUGAGAUACGGCCCAGACUCCUACGGGAGGCAGCAGUAGGGAAUUUUGCGCAAUGGACGAAAGUCUGACGCAGCAACACCGUGUGAGGGAUGAAGCAUUUCGGUGUGUAAACCUCUGUCGAUGGUGAAUAAGGCAUGUGGGAGUGGAAAGCCCAUGUGUUGAAGGUAGCCAGAAAGGAAGCACCGGCUAACUCUGUG
rnacentral:rRNA from 1 species